rnacentral:misc_RNA from 1 species
GAAAUGCGAUACGUAAUGUGAAUUGCAAAUUUCGUGAAUCAUCGAAUCUUUGAACGCAUAUUGCACUUCUUGGUAUCCCGAGAAGUAUGCCUGUUUGAGAAUCAUUUUCAACCUUCACCCUUUAGUGGGUGGAUUUGAGUACUUGUCCUUUGGGCAUUACUUUGAACAUAGUGUUUUGAACUAAAGGUCAUUAAAUGCCUUUAAGCGUUAUUCAUUUGGGGACUCUGGUCUUCAAUUUUCGCCUAAAGUGCAGACUUGAAGUAAGAAACUCACUGAAACUGAAGCUUUAAACCUUUAGACCCUUUCUCAGUCAAAACUCUGGUUAAGACUUUGAACUACUUGGUCUCAAAUCAGGCAAGAGUACCCGCUGAACUUAA